rnacentral:rRNA from 1 species
GAAGUGGUCGCUCGUCUUGCCGGGAGCGAGAGGUGGGGAACACAACCGAGGUGCAGAGAGGUGAAGGGAACCGAGGAGUAGAGGUUCUUGCGUAGUUCUUACGUCGCCGGUCUAAUACACGUCGUACAAGGGGAAGAGGAAGGUGAGAAAAAAGGUUAUUUAAACCGGAGGCGACGACGUAGAGAAACCAAGCGGAUAGUUUAGACGUGGACACGCUCAGCGGAGGAGGACGCGAGUGGUCAGGCGGAGACCCCUUGCGGUACCCCGUUCCUACGACAGGCGGCGGCACCCGGUACAGCUCCUCGUGGCGACCUCUAGUCCUCCCUGUUGAAGUCAAGUCCGAGAAAGAGGGAGUGGAAGAAGAAACCAAGGAUGGAGAGAAAAAGUCACACACUGACGCACACAAACUAAUACACAUCUAUAAGUUCAUUGUCAUCUGACGAUAUAUGUGUUAAACCCUACUGAACAUAAAGUAUAUUAGAAAAGGGAUAAACUAUAAAAUUCUUAAGGAAGACCGUCAACGUAAGUCUCAAAGUCUGAUAACCUAGACGCUCCGUGGUCGUUGUCACAACUUAUACUUCUCCAUACAUAGAAAAUACAUGACUUAAUAAGACGUGUAUUAGGACUGUUGACUAGUCUGGUAAAGUUCUACAAAACCAGUAUGGUGGUAUGUGACGCUAAACGGCUAAAUCUACGAAUAGGAGAUCGAGAUAGUCGUGAGAAACCAAGUAACUUUUUGAUUGUGUGUUUUGGGUAAUAUAGACGAUUCAUAUCGUGCGUGUGAUGGAAUUUUAAACUGUCAAACCUAUACACUUAGAAUGUACUUAGUCCGGAUGUAGAAAGACUACUACGAGAGGUCGUCUAAUACCUGUUCCGUCAGUUCAUCCACCUGAACUUGUUGUUAUCCACCCGUCUAGGAUUGCUUACCCUUCGCAAGGCUUCAUUUUUAGAUUGGAACGACUUCUUGUACUGAGAGAGAAUGGGUCUUAUUCAUGGAGAUAUAAAAUCGAAACCAUUUGUUACAAACUCUUGUACUGAGAAUCAGACUUGAUUGUAGAGUCGUACAAAACUACGUCUCUUAGUAUUGUUACAGUAAGUGAGAGUUGGACGCGAUGUUUUUAUAAACAUAUACGUUAAAUACCAUUCUUAAUAAGUGACUAUUAACCUCUCCUUUUAUAAUUCUUUAUACUUAAUCGAUUCGUGGAUUUUAAACUAAACUGUACGUGGAGAACCGCGAACCUAAAUCCAAAUAAAAACAUAAGAGGAGUCCAGGUACGUACGGUUAGUUAAACAGGAUUAGUUGGAGAUAAAAAACAUAUUUUUUAUUUGGAUUGCAAGAAUACAAAUUUAUCUAUCUUCACGAUGACCUAUCUUCUUCUUUUAGCGGUGAAAUACGUUGUACCUAUGUAAUAGGCAGAAAUAAAGAGGCGUGUGUCCGAAGGUUUAAUGAAUAUACGUCCUAUGUGUACCCGAAGACAUUUGUCGAUGUACUUCAAGUCCGGAUACUAUUAAAAUACACUGGAUACGAUUUUAGUUUCUAGUGUCGUUGCAACUUAUAGUAACCGAAAAGAGUUUUCGAUUAUAUAUUAAUAUAUACGUACGUACAACCGUAGGAUAAUGUAAAAAUACACCGGUUUAGAAUACUGUAAGGACGGAAGAGAGAGGGAGCUCGAUGAGCGUAAUCAUGGGUUCGAGGGUAUAGAUUAAAAUAAAAACUGUUUCAAUAGUAUACGUGUAAGACAAUUACAGGUAUGAAUAAAUCUCUCGUGUUCGAGGGCAAAGAUUUAAAUUAAAAACGUGGCUCAAUAGAAUAUAUGUAAGACAAUCAGACGCAUGAAUAAAUCUCUCGUACCCUUAUACUAAGACUAUCGAAGAUAGACAAUGUACAAUGUCAGCUGUUGACACUAUAGUAUAUACAGGAUCUACUGUUCGAAUUAAAUUCUAAAACCAGUCUCGGGUGGAUUACGUUCACAGCCUACUAAAAGGCGACUACCGUUCCUAGAUCCUGCUAAACCACCAAGAAUGACGUAUCAUAACAACGACGAGUUAUAUGUUCAUACUGUCAAAGGACGCUCCCCGAAUUUGCCCCGACGACCGUGGGAGUAUGUUGUCAGGACGGGACGGGAGGGUCAAGCUAACAUUCCGACCCAUGUAAAAAGUGGGAUACAAAUCGAAAAUUUAAGUUCGCUGACGUAAAUACUAAAAAUGUCAUAUUCGUACCUACUAAACUAACAGAAUCAAGUGAAACAAAGAGGAUGACUAUCCUGUAGAUACCAAAAUUCGUACGACGGUCAACGGACGGUGAGCCACUCUCUGGAUACACUAUAAUAAGAAAGUGCCUUGGAGUAAACUUCAUGG